AUUGAACGCUGGCGGCAGGCCUAACACAUGCAAGUCGAGCGAGUGGCGGACGGGUGAGUAAUGUAUGGGUACCUGCCCGAUCGAGGGGGAUAACUACUGGAAACGGUAGCGAAUACCGCAUACUAUCGGAUGUACUCAAAUGGGAUUAGCUAGUAGGUGGGGUAAUGGCUCACCUUGGCGACGAUCACUCGCUGGGCUGCGAGGAUGAACAGCCACACUGGAACUGAGACACGGCCCAGACUCCUACGGGAGGAAGCAGUGGGGAAUAUUGCACAAUGGGCGCAAGCCUGAUGCAGCCAUGCCGCGUGUAUGAAGAAGGCCCUAGGGUUGUAAAGUACUUUCAGUCGGGAGGCGUUACCCACAGAAGAAGCACCGGCUAACUCCGUGCCAGCAGCCGCGGUAAUAC
rnacentral:rRNA from 1 species